UACGUAGGGUGCAAGCGUUAAUCGGAAUUACUGGGCGUAAAGCGUGCGCAGGCGGUCUGUUAAGACCGAUGUGAAAUCCCCGGGCUUAACCUGGGAACUGCAUUGGUGACUGGCAGGCUUUGAGUGUGGCAGAGGGAGGUAGAAUUCCACGUGUAGCAGUGAAAUGCGUAGAGGUGUGGAGGAAUACCGAUGGCGAAGGCAGCCUCCUGGGCCAACACUGACGCUCAUGCACGAAAGCCGGGGGAGCAAACAGG
rnacentral:rRNA from 1 species